UACGGAGGAUGCAAGCGUUAUCCGGAAUGAUUGGGCGUAAAGCGUCCGCAGGUGGCUAUGUAAGUCUGCUGUUAAAGAGUGAGGCUCAACCUCAUAAAAGCAGUGGAAACUACAUGGCUAGAGUGCGUUCGGGGCAGAGGGAAUUCCUGGUGUAGCGGUGAAAUGCGUAGAGAUCAGGAAGAACACCGGUGGCGAAAGCGCUUUGCUAGGCCGCAACUGACACUGAGGGACGAAAGCUAGGGGAGCGAAUGGG
rnacentral:rRNA from 1 species